GUUGAGCGGAUACGCUGGGUUUGCUUGAAAGAAAGGCGGAGUAUAAACUAAUGGAUAGGUUUUUUCCACUCAUUGGUACAAACUCCAAAACUUCUUCCAAAUUCGACCUCAAAUCAGGUAGGACUACCCGCUGAACUUAAGCAUAUCAAUAAGCGGAGGAAAAGAAACCAACAGGAUUGCCUUAGUAGCGGCGAGUGAAGCGGCAAAAGCUCAAAUUUGAAAUCUGGCACUUUCAGUGUCCGAGUUGUAAUUUGAAGAAGGUAUCUUUGGGUCUGGCUCUUGUCUAUGUUUCUUGGAACAGAACGUCACAGAGGGUGAGAAUCCCGUGCGAUGAGAUGUCCCAGACCUAUGUAAAGUUCCUUCGAAGAGUCGAGUUGUUUGGGAAUGCAGCUCUAAGUGGGUGGUAAAUUCCAUCUAAAGCUAAAUAUUGGCGAGAGACCGAUAGCGAACAAGUACAGUGAUGGAAAGAUGAAAAGAACUUUGAAAAGAGAGUGAAAAAGUACGUGAAAUUGUUGAAAGGGAAGGGCUUGAGAUCAGACUUGGUAUUUUGUAUGUUACUCUCUCGGGGGUGGCCUCUACAGUUUACCGGGCCAGCAUCAGUUUGAGCGGUAGGAUAAGUGCAAAGAAAUGUGGCACUGCUUCGGUAGUGUGUUAUAGUCUUUGUCGAUACUGCCAGCUUAGACUGAGGACUGCGGCUUCGGCCUAGGAUGUUGGCAUAAUGAUCUUAAGUCGCCCGUCUUGAAACACGGACCAAGGAGUCUAACGUCUAUGCGAGUGUUUGGGUGUAAAACCCGUACGCGUAAUGAAAGUGAACGUAGGUAGGACCUCCUUUAGGAGUGCACUAUCGACCGAUCCUGAUGUCUUCGGAUGGAUUUGAGUAAG
rnacentral:rRNA from 1 species